ACCUCAACAAAUCUUACAAUUAAUAUUUCAAUAAAACACUUUAACAUCUAACUUACUUAUAUCUAUCAAUUAAAAAGUACUAAAAAGGAAACUUAAAUACUUUUAAGUAGUGAACAAUCCACGUACCUUGUGCAUUAUGGUUUUACAAGCAUAUAAUUAAAUAUAUAGUCCCGAAUACUACGCGAGCUGCCAUUUCAUAGCUAAGAGCCCCCUAUUAGUUAUAGCACCAACUUUAGAAAAUGUGAUGGCAGAGGCUACAUACCAUACGCGCUAGACAAUUGCUGGUUAUCAGUAAACUUUAUAUAUUAAACCAUGUAGAGCCUUUACAAUGUUAAAUCUUAGAGGACAAGCCCUAAGAUUAAAAGCCAAACAUCUUAAUUGUCCUAUCAGUAGGCCUAAAAUCAGCCAUCUAUAGUACUUUACCGUAUUGUAGCCCUAAUACAUAACAAUCCUGCCCAUUAAAACUGAUAUUUAAGAUAAACAUAAGAUCUUAAAAUAUUAUGUAAAAAUAAGUAUUAAGAAUUCUAUUUAAAUAUAAUCACCAAGCAAUCACUUAUAAAGGAACUCGGCAAUUCUUAUUUCGACUGUUAGA
rnacentral:rRNA from 1 species